AGACACAGGUGAUCGAUCUGUCGAAGAUAGGGAUGGUUUCGGGUCAAAUGAAGAAGGGGAUCUGCCCCCUGGCCUGCCCAACCCUCUCGCCUACGGGGUUCUAUACUUAAGUAGGCAAUUAAAUGCUCAUUUUUCUGCUCAUCGACUGGUUGCUUGUCUAUUGGACAAUCAACAUGUAGCUGAGUAAACCCUUUUCGAAUGAGAUAAGUUGCUUGUUGUUAGACAAUCCAGUUUAGGUUUCUCGUGAAUGCAAUAGAAUGAAGGUGGAGUCUCUAUAUGCAAUAGCAACUUUACUGAUAUUGGCAUUUCCCCUGGCAUGGAGAAGAACCCGAGAAAGAAGAUCAGCCUACUCAUUGCCCGUGACACUCCCCGGAUUGUGGUGCUGUGAGCUCUACCCUUUCCUCGAAUGUUGUCCUGUCGCCUCCCCCCUUUGCAUGGGAAAACCCUUUUAGGUUUGGCGAUCCUUCUCCCCUUGGUUCUAUUGUUCGCAUCUGGCCAUCACCAUGUGUUCCUGAAAUUUGUCUGGAUGGGUUUGUUGGUGAAACAGAAACAUGCCAAUUGUGACGUGUUGCUGGAUAAAGAUGUAUUCAGUGUGUCAAUUUAUCAGGGUUUUGAUCUCACUUUGAUUUUGAGCUGGAUCGUGGUUGUUGACAUUAUUAAUAGUGAGGAUUUCUAUAUAAUUUUUUAGUACCGUGGAUGCAGAGGAAGUGCGGAGGUUUGAAUCUAAAUUGGGGCAUACGUAUCUAGAUCUGAUUUUGGCAUCUCUUGUGGCUUUUUGAGAAGCGAGCCACACAUUUCUCCCUCCUUCACAAGGCGCAUAUCUGGAUGCAGGAGCUUCAUCAUUUAAAGAGGCCAUGAAGAUAGGUUCAAAGAUUUUCCACCAUUUGAAGGGCCAAAUAAAGACUGGAGCUCCAUGUCGAUCUGAGCUACUUGCCAAUAUAAACAGUUUGCAUACGUUUGCAGAGCAUUUCCAACCGUGCCAGCUCACCACAGAGCUCCCAUUUCGUUACAAGCUGGAAGAAUGGUAGGAAAUAAAAAUUGCCCAGAGGCUGUCAGCAAACACGUACUGAAUUCACUUUACUUACUGCGCGGGAGAAAUUUAAGAAUUUGAAUGCUAACGGAAACGGGACAAACGGCAACGGAUGGUGGCAAAGGGAAUGGGCCCACACCUGCCACACUAAGCGGUCAACGCUUAGUGUGUGCUGUUUAAGGGUGGCCCACUAGAGAUUCUGCUGGUCAGGAAAAUUCUAUAGACACCGUCAUAGGCAGAAACUAUGAUCUACUGCUACAAAUCAUAUAUACACAAAUUAAUUUUUAAAUCUUUGUAUUUUUAGAAUCAUGGGCUUUGUUUUAAUCUUUUAAAAUUUGAUAUGCUUCUACUACAGGCUUGAGUGGAUUGUCUCCGUGGAAAGGCUCGUAAGCUGAAUGUAACAAAAUUCAAAGUAUUUUGAAUAUAACAAUUGUGUUGUUGAAAUGGUUCUCUGUAAUCGAGGGUAUCGAAAAGCCUGUAAUGGAGAGUAUCGAAACACCUGGUGUUAACAGUUUUUUGAGUUUUAGAAAAUAGAUGUAUCUCGUUAUUUUUGCA